UAGUUCGCUCAAUUUUAUUUUUCCUCUCCAUAUGAAACGAAAAACGUAUAUUUCGUAUUCCAUCCGUUCCAACGUGAACAUUUAUCCGUUCAGUGUCAAUUCUCUGAUAUUGAGUCGCAAUUAAAUUCGAGAAAUUAUAUUCAGCCGUGUAGAUGUGAGCGUCGAUGAAAUAUAUAGAUUAGACGCACUAUGUGUCUUCCGAUGCUUUUUAAUCUCGGCUCCGACGAAACGAAAAAUCCCUGUGUCUACCGGCCGAAUCGUGCGUUCGGCAAUUUCCGACAUCCCUCGGUAGAACUCGCAAGCGCGCCGCAUCGCAGCGUCAUUCAGUCGAAUGCUGACCGCCACGCGCAAAGGAUCGUGUUACGCUCGAUAUCCGUGUGUCGUCACGAGUCACUUCUGUCUGCUGCUUUGACAGCCAGUCACGUCUUACGUUUCUUCACUGUGUUUACAUUCGUGAUGUACGAUCAUCGAUCGAAUACGGUUCGUUUGCUCCCCGCUUAAAUCAAUUGUCCGAUCCGACUCGGUUGUUGUUCGUUUCUUCGGUAUCUAAUCGCGAUUUCUCCAGCGAGGGCACGUGUUACGUCAAACGAACCACGGAUCGAAAGUGUUGCACAGUGCGUUCAAUUAUUUGCCGUGGGCGAUCAAAGAUCCGUGUAUGCAAACAAGAUUAUUGUGCUUGGGGACGUUUCUGUUGGCAAACACGAUCGAUAUAAAGAGAAUACGACAUAGAUGGUUGUACGUUUGAUUUACUUUUCAUCUCGAGCGCUACGCUAAUUUUGAAAUCGUGUCUGAAAUUACAUUCAAGAGAGGACAUUGUCGCGAUCGAGCUAUCUCGGAGCUUCUUAACCAGGCACCCCGCCUUUAAACGAAUUUAACGAGACCACUCGUCCGUACGGUCAAUUCGUGGACCAACCCGCGUGGACUGAUCCAGCCGUCCCUCCCGUCUCCUCACUCCAUUAGGGUUGACUGACCGACCGAGACGCAAGACCGUACUCCGGUCCCCCGGUGAUCAAAGAUAUACUCGUCGAGCGUGUACGAUGCGUUCGAUCAAUCGCGACACGGUAAUAUAUCGGCGAGGAUAAACAACAAACUCGAGGCCGAGCGAAAGAAGAUUGUUGUUGAAGCAAAAGGAGCCAAAGGACGAAGAAGGAGCGUAACACCGAUCGGUGGUUGUUCGCCGAGAGAGAAAAAGAAUUUCGUUAAAAAGGAUUCUCCGUUACGUGCGAAUCGCGAGCUAUACAGACCUAUUCCUGGUUAACGAUCGACAAAAGUGGCUGGUAAUUAGAGCCGGAUUAAUUGGACCGCGAAGCAACUCGCGCCGGACGCGAUGAAAGAGAAGAGGAGCGCCGCGAGGAAGAGAGGGUUGCUCGAAUAAGCGCGUGGCUUUCGAGGAUUUUCGUCUCCUCGCCGACCGAAUUCCACCUCGUUUCUACGUGUAAAUAUUUACGAAACUGUCAGUGAACCCCGAAGCUGCCAGUGAUUCCCAGAAUUUGAAUCACCUUUCCAGUGAUUUGUUACGAAUCAUCCAUGUAAUAACAGGCUCGCGCGAACAGUACUCGUCCUACUCAACUAUUGGUCAACUAUUUGUUCGAAAGUUGUACAGUGUUUGUGGUCAGGUCACGGCUCUCGUUGUUUUCCCCCGCGCACUCGACACUCGCGGAGAAGCUCGCGUAGUAAGUAAAACGCGAGUGGAAAGAAGAGCGAUCGGGGGGUUGUUGGAGGGUGGUGGUCGAUCGGUCACGAGCGAGAGGAAAGCGGCGGCGGUCAGCGUGUCGGGGAUCGGGUCGGAUAAUGCGCCAUCGCGCGACAACGCGAUUUUCGGCGAUCGUGAGGAUAGAAUGUUGACAGCCCGUUCUGGGCCUCUUGGGCUCGGUGUCCCGCGAACCCUGGGGCCCGCCGAAGGGAGCGACCACCUCUUCCUUCUGCCCGAAAGAGCGCUGAUCAUGGACAGCACCCACCUGAGACAGGACCUGGCCGGUCUCGACUUCAACUUGCACCUGAACCUGCUCCACACCGCGCCCCGCGGCAACGUCUGGCUAUGUGAGUAUCCUUUCCAACCGAUCUAACGACAUUAAGCUGCCAUGACGGCUCGAAAGUUGCACGUGAGUAUCUGAUCGUAAAAGGGAAGAGGGUAUGUGCACGAGCCAGCGAUUGUUUUGCGUUGCGGUACGUAGAAAGGGAAUGGCAGGGGAUGGCCGAGUUAAAUCCCUACCAGAAACUCGAUCGAGUGAUAAAUGAAUUCGUUGCAUUCAUCGCGCUUGAUAUUAAACAUUGGGGCGGGAAAUCGGGCUAAUUACGAAACUUUGCACACUCCUUGAAAUUAGAAACGAACGUUCCAAUC